AACGGAGGCGCUCAAAGGUUCCCUCAGAAUGGUUGGAAAUCAUUCAUAGAGUGUAAAGGCAUAAGGGAGCUUGACUGCGAGACCUACAAGUCGAGCAGGGUCGAAAGACGGACUUAGUGAUCCGGUGGUUCCGCAUGGAAGGGCCAUCGCUCAACGGAUAAAAGCUACCCCGGGGAUAACAGGCUUAUCUCCCCCAAGAGUUCACAUCGACGGGGAGGUUUGGCACCUCGAUGUCGGCUCAUCGCAUCCUGGGGCUGUAGUCGGUCCCAAGGGUUGGGCUGUUCGCCCAUUAAAGCGGUACGCGAGCUGGGUUCAGAACGUCGUGAGACAGUUCGGUCCCUAUCCGUCGUGGGCGUAGGAAAUUUGAGAGGAGCUGUCCUUAGUACGAGAGGACCGGGAUGGACAUACCUCUGGUGUACCAGUUGUCGUGCCAACGGCAUAGCUGGGUAGCUAUGUAUGGACGGGAUAAGUGCUGAAAGCAUCUAAGCAUGAAGCCCCCCUCAAGAUGAGAUUUCCCAACUUCGGUUAUAAGAUCCCUCAAAGAUGAUGAGGUUAAUAGGUUCGAGGUGGAAGCGUGGUGACAC
rnacentral:rRNA from 1 species